CCCCGCCGCGCGCUCGCGGCGCACGCUGCUGCCGUCGUCAUCAGCUGAUACAGGAAGUAAUGAGUGGUCGUCCGGUGAACGGGGAGCGCAGGUGAAGCAGCCGAAGAAGGAGCCGAAUAAUGACAUGUGAGCUCCAACCGCCAGCGGGACCGUGAGCGGAACAUCUAACGCGGCCCGACGCGGUGUCCUUGAUCUGUUGCCUCUGAAGACCACCUCCCCUGAUGUCCUCCUCUCAUGGAGGCACAGAGGACAGAGUUUUCUUAUCAGAGGAAAGCCGCAGGUUUAUUUUUGAGAAGGUCAGGACAAGGUCAGGACCAGGUCUAGGUCGGGACCAGGUGGAGUAGGUCGGGGCAGGACAACUGCGAACACAAUCUGUGAAUCAUAGCUUCUCAGUGAAAAACUACCCAGAGAAUCACUCUGAAGUUACUGGACCAUUUGCCACGCUUUCUCACAACCACCAGGAUAAUGUCACCGUGGUCUUUCGGUGAUUUGUCAUUAUUUUAUUGAUAGAAGUUGAUUUUAUAUAGAAACCCUUUUGAGAUUUCCCUCUAGACCGUCGCGCAUUGAUGAAUUAUUAACUCGUGAAAGAAACACCUUCUGUUUCUUGACUGAAGCUCAGAACGUGUUGAACCGGUUAUUAACCAACUUUAUCGCGUCGUGAAGGUAAGCUGUGUGUUUUUAAAAUGAUCUCUGGCCUCAGUCCAGUUUUCAGAGCGCCGAUCGCCUCCGUUAUGCAGCACCACAGCAACCUUCUUCCUUUGAAAAGAUAACAGGAGUUCCGUCCCCUCAACUACCUCUCCCUCACCUCCCGGGGGCCUAUCAGGCCCCCCCUUGGGGUUGCAACGAUGAACGGAGCCCGCGGACGCAUUGUGUUGGCUUGCCCCUUUGGACUCGAGCGUAAUCCUCAGUCUAGUCAAAGUUCACGAGCGCUGCAGCAAUCGUUAGUCCGCCGGUUUGCUCUGCAAGUGAUCGGUGAGCAGCCGGCGCUCGGGAAGGCUCUAGUCGGAGGACGUUGACGGGGAUCCGAUGGCGCACAGUGAGCCCUCCGGCAGGAGGAGACGACGGGGUAAGCCCUCUGUUGGCCGCUUUUUUUUUUUCUUCUUCUUCGUCUUCUUCUUCUUCGUGGAUUUGGAGCAAAACAGCCCUUGAAGCCAUUGAGCAUCAGCCACUGGGUGGUGUAUCCCGGGCCGGCCUGAGGGUGCAGGGCCCAGAUGGUUCCGCCACAAUGGGCUGCUGUUUGGCUCCAGCACUGUUUUGGCCCCCCCCCCCUCUUAAUGAAAGAGUCUUUCAGCCUCCUUUUCGGAGAAAUGCAGCCACGUUCAGGCCGCAGGCGUGUGAAAGCUGCCGAGGCAGAUUCGACAGUUCCCUGGGGUUUGUUGGGUAGUAAAUGUUUGCUUCAUCAAUAAUCGGCACUAAGAAAUACAGUUUCUUGUGUUUUUAAAAGGAACUUUUGAGCUCUUUCCGCCUGCGCUGUCACAUCCUUCUGUUCAAAGCAUCUGCACCACUUCGCAACUUCUUCGCUUAUCUACGAUGCGUCAGCGAAAAUGAAUGAAGGUCCAUUAAAGGCAGAGUUGGUAAACUAUUUCAAAAACGGGGUUUGAUAUUUUGUUGACAUUCUCUGUUAACUUGACUAACACUACUAGCUUAACCUUUUGAAACCCAGGUGGCCUCUUAAAAGGGACUUUAGUUUAGUUCUGCUUACUCGGAAUUAA
ensembl:lncRNA